rnacentral:tRNA from 1 species
GGCUCGGUAGCUUGGAGGAAAGAAGCGCCCGUCUAGUGAAUUGGGAGUCGUGGGUUCGAUUCCCACCGGAGCAC